CCCCAGGCCACAAGGACACCCUGUUUGCUACAAUGAGUAUCCUCUCAGAUAAGGAUAUCCCUGCAGAAGAUGGAACAUCAAUAGGCUGGGGUGCCACAUUGCCUUGCUAUAUGAAGCCAGCACAGAGCAGGAAACCGCUGAAAUGGGAUGUCUGAUGUUGCAUUUUUGUCUCUUCGCCUUGCCAAAGAAAACGGAUCUCUAAGUAAAAGGAUGCAAGUUUGAGAGGGACUUUAUCGGAAGCUGUUCACCAAAGCAGGAUGUCAUGGAACCCCUUGCUGGGGCUCAAAAAUCUCAUGCAUUUUGAGAGGCAGUGGCAUGGAAG